rnacentral:misc_RNA from 1 species
AGCUGGAUCAUUUCGAGAGUUUACGAACUCCUCAUUGUGGUUACAAACACAAAAAUUGAGCAAAUACAAUACUACUCGGACAAACGUACCACGUGUACUUUGGUCGAGAAUUGAACAACUCAUUACGGUGGAUGUCUCGGCUUCCCAAUCGAUGAAGGACGCGGCAAUAUGCGAUAAAUUCGUAUGAAUUGCAGAAUCAAGCGUAUUAUCAAACCUUUGAACGCAAAAUGCGUGCUGGGUUUUAACUCAAGCACGUCUACGGUUCAGUGCCGAUAACUGUGUUGGGGACAAAUUAGGCCCUUAAACUCUUGGUUUCGUACCAAUUUAUCAUUUCAAGGCCUGAGCUGUAGUCGACCACCCGCUGAACUUAAGCAUAUCAUUAAGCGGAGGAAAAGAAAACAACUGUGAUUCCCUUAGUAGCGGCGAGCGAAGAGGGAAAAGCCCAAGCCGAAUCGGAUCACAUCCGAAUUGUGGAGUAUGAAGUUCUUUGUAUUUCCGUAUGUUGGAAAAGUCUUCCUGGAAUGGAGCGCCCUAGAGGGUGAUAGCCCCGUUUUCCGACCUCUACGCGAAACAACACCUUUGAACUUUCGGAGUAGUACUGCUUGGGAAUGCAGUGCGAAUGGCAGGUAUACCUCUGCCAAGGCUAAAUAUGAUGGGAAGACCGAUAGCGCACAAGUAGCGUGAGCGAAAGAUGAAAAGCACUUUGGAGAGAGAGUGAAAGAGUACCUGAAGCCGUAAUGAGGUAAGGGAUGGACCACUAUCCAAGAACGGUUGAAGAAACGUCCUUUGGGGCUAACUUCUCUUCUGUUCCUGUCUGCCGCUGUUUUAAGGUCUAGCUUGCUGGUUUGGAGCUUGCUCUAUUCGUGGCUUGUACUUGUACUAAGGGACAGUUUUCCUUCGUGAUUGGUGAAACGCUGGGGUUUCCUACGCGGGAACGAGGAUUCCAGAUAGCCGCUUCGGUGGUGAUUCCUGUUUUCUUGAACCUUCGGAAGUGCUCCCGUCUUCUCUUUCAUAGGCAGGCUUUGAGAUGGCCUUUGGCCACGAUGGGGUUCAUCCGCCCGUCUUGAAACACGGACCAAGGAGUCUAACAAGUAUGCGAGUCAUAUACUGAAUGAAAGUAUAAGGCGUACUGAAAGGGAAGCGUACAUACGUGCGUUUGGUGUCAACGGUGCGUCUUUGGACAAUCCGUGCAGCACCGGCCGAGGUCUGGCAAUCGGCUGGAUUUUUGAGCCUGAGCAUACAUGUUGGGACCCGAAAGGUGGUGACCUAUGCCUGAACAGGACGAAGCCGAGGGAAACCUGGGUGGAGGUCCGUAGCGAUGUUGACGUGCAAAUCGCUCGUUAGAUUUGGGUAUAGGGGCGAAAGACUCAUCGAACCACCUAGUAGCUGGUUCACCC